rnacentral:rRNA from 1 species
AUGGCCGAGUGGUCUAAGGCGCCAGACUCAAGUUCUGGUCCUCUAACGAGGGCGUGGGUUCAAACCCCACUUCUGACAAUUUCUUUUUUAUUUUUUUUCCUUGCUUACAUUUACUAG